ACUAUCUUGGCAGAUAAGUGCAUUGGAUUUAAGCUCCACACAUAUAAAUUAACUUUAUAUUUAGUA
rnacentral:tRNA from 1 species